AUUGAACGCUGGCGGCAGGCCUAACACAUGCAAGUCGAGCUAGCGGCGGACGGGUGAGUAAUGUAUGGGGACUGCCCGAUAGAGGGGGAUACCUACUGGAAACGGUAGCUAAUACCGCAUACUAUCGGAUAACCCAUAUGGGAUUAGCUAGUAGGUGAGGUAAUGGCUCACCUAGGCGACGAUCCCUAGCUGGUCUGAGAGGAUGAUCAGCCACACUGGGACUGGGACAAGGCCCAGAAUCCAAGGGAGGCAGCAGUAGGGAAUAUUGCACAGUGGGCGAAAGCCUGAUGCAGCCGUGCCGCGUGUAUGAAGAAGGCCAUAGGGUUGUAAAGUACUUUCAGUCGGGAAGCGUUACCGACACAAGAAGCACCGGCUAACUCCGUGCCAGCAGCCGCGGUAAUUC
rnacentral:rRNA from 1 species